rnacentral:rRNA from 1 species
GGCUCAGGACGAACGCUGGCGGCGUGCCUAACACAUGCAAGUUGAACGGACGAGGGGAGCUUGCCCCCCAAGUUAGUGGCGGACGGGUGAGUAACACGUGAGCAACCUGCCCUUCGGAGGGGGACAACAGUUGGAAACGACUGCUAAUACCGCAUAACGUAUUUUGGAGGCAUCUCCGGGAUACCAAAGAUUUAUCGCCGAAGGAUGGGCUCGCGUCUGAUUAGAUAGUUGGUGGGGCAACGGCCUACCAAGUCGACGAUCAGUAGCCGGACUGAGAGGUUGAACGGCCACAUUGGGACUGAGAUACGGCCCAGACUCCUACGGGAGGCAGCAGGUGGGGAAUAUUGGGCAAGUGGGGGCAACCCUGACCCAAGCAACGCCGCGUGAUUGAAUAAGCCCUUCGGGGUGUAAAGAUCUGUCAGUAGGGACGAAACUUGACGGUACCUACAGAGGAAGCAUCGGCUAACUCCGUGCCAGCAGCGGC